UUUCCAACCCUCCCACUACGAAUCUAGUCCUGGUCCAUAUAUUCUGAACCUUGUAGCACCUAGUGGGUUACAUUUGCAUGGGUAUCAAAUGACUAACCUAUUUAUUUACAUAUGUUCCCGGUCCCUAAUCGACAACGAGAGAACUUAUUCCUAAACGUGUGCGCAUCCUCUAAACUUGGAAUACCCCAUGCAUCUUCUCUACCUCUGUGUGUCAGCACGCAUGUGCGAGAUCUUCUUCAGGUCUUAAGCGGUUGGCAGCCUUCAGCGCAUUUGACUGAGUGAGAGCAGCGUACUCAGCCAACCAUUUUUUUUUUUCAGUGUAUCGUACCACAAGCAUUGACCUGAUUGUCCAGGGAAACAAGUAUGGCAGGUUCACUCUCAUACUGGACACUGAAGCGAAAAUCCAAGGCACGCGUUAAUCAGCAACUGGCGUCCAUUCAUUGUAGAUUGGCUUCUAGCAGCAUUGCUGAGGAUGAAGAAAUGGCAGAAGAUGUCCCUGACAUUCCUGUUGAUGUUUGUGAAUUGGAGGAUGGCUUCUCUG